AAUGGGUCAGCGACUUAUAUUCUGUAGCAAGGUUAACCGUAUAGGGGAGCCGAAGGGAAACCGAGUCUUAACUGGGCGUUAAGUUGCAGGGUAUAGACCCGAAACCCGGUGAUCUAGCCAUGGGCAGGUUGAAGGUUGGGUAACACUAACUGGAGGACCGAACCGACUAAUGUUGAAAAAUUAGCGGAUGACCUGUGGCUGGGGGUGAAAGGCCAAUCAAACCGGGAGAUAGCUGGUUCUCCCCGAAAGCUAUUUAGGUAGCGCCUCGUGAACUCAUCUUCGGGGGUAGAGCACUGUUUCGGCUAGGGGGCCAUCCCGGCUUACCAACCCGAUGCAAACUACGAAUACCGAAGAAUGUUAUCACGGGAGACACACGGCGGGUGCUAACGUCCGUCGUGAAGAGGGAAACAACCCAGACCGCCAGCUAAGGUCCCAAAGUCAUGGUUAAGUGGGAAACGAUGUGGGAAGGCACAGACAGCCAGGAUGUUGGCUUAGAAGCAGCCAUCAUUUAAAGAAAGCGUAAUAGCUCACUGGUCGAGUCGGCCUGCGCGGAAGAUGUAACGGGGCUAAACCAUGCACCGAAGCUGCGGCAGCGACACUAUGUGUUGUUGGGUAGGGGAGCGUUCUGUAAGCCGUUGAAGGUGUGCUGUGAGGCAUGCUGGAGGUAUCAGAAGUGCGAAUGCUGACAUAAGUAACGAUAAAGCGGGUGAAAAGCCCGCUCGCCGGAAGACCAAGGGUUCCUGUCCAACGUUAAUCGGGGCAGGGUGAGUCGACCCCUAAGGCGAGGCCGAAAGGCGUAGUCGAUGGGAAACAGGUUAAUAUUCCUGUACUUGGUGUUACUGCGAAGGGGGGACGGAGAAGGCUAUGUCAGCCGGGCGACGGUUGUCCCGGUUUAAGCAUGUAGGCGGAGGUUCCAGGUAAAUCCGGUACCUUAUUAACGCUGAGGUGUGAUGACGAGGCACUACGGUGCUGAAGUGAUAAAUGCCCUGCUUCCAGGAAAAGCCUCUAAGCAUCAGGUAACACGAAAUCGUACCCCAAACCGACACAGGUGGUCAGGUAGAGAAUACCAAGGCGCUUGAGAGAACUCGGGUGAAGGAACUAGGCAAAAUGGUGCCGUAACUUCGGGAGAAGGCACGCUGAUAGGUAGGUGAAGCCCCUGCGGGCGGAGCUGAAAUCAGUCGAAGAUACCAGCUGGCUGCAACUGUUUAUUAAAAACACAGCACUGUGCAAACACGAAAGUGGACGUAUACGGUGUGACGCCUGCCCGGUGCCGGAAGGUUAAUUGAUGGGGUUAGCGGCAACGCGAAGCUCUUGAUCGAAGCCCCGGUAAACGGCGGCCGUAACUAUAACGGUCCUAAGGUAGCGAAAUUCCUUGUCGGGUAAGUUCCGACCUGCACGAAUGGCGUAAUGAUGGCCAGGCUGUCUCCACCCGAGACUCAGUGAAAUUGAACUCGCUGUGAAGAUGCAGUGUACCCGCGGCAAGACGGAAAGACCCCGUGAACCUUUACUAUAGCUUGACACUGAACACUGGUCCUUGAUGUGUAGGAUAGGUGGGAGGCUUUGAAGCGUG
rnacentral:rRNA from 1 species